CGAACACAUUAAUAUACAAAACAGUCCAGUCGCAUAAGCCUUGAAUUUUUGUUAUAAGUUACUAUGGGGUAUUUAAAAAUGUUUAGUCAAAGAGGAGGGGUUGAAGAAACGAAAAUAAAGUGUUUUAUAAAGAUUAUUCCAAAUCGGUAAGAGCUAGAAAAAAAGUUUUAAAUAAAAAUUGUUAAGCAAAACAAUUUACAUGAAAAAGUCCUCUAGUCUUUUUUUGAUAUUAUUCACAUUAACAGAGGGUGAUUAAGUGUAAAGGGUUGAAAUGUACAAUUUUAAAGAAACUAUUAAAAACGCUUGAUUGUUAUGUAAAAUCUUCUGUUAAAUUCGAAUCCGAAGGUCGUUUUUGGAUUUAAAAUUGUUUUUGUUACCAAAAGAAAUUUUUAGCGAAACAUUUACAAAAAUCGAAAACUGGACACCUUUUGCGUUUAUAUCCUUGUAUUUUCCUUCUGGAUAAAGCACGAAGCUUAUUUUUUUUUGCAACAGAUUUCACAAUAAAUGCAGAUUUUUACGUAGUUACACAAAGAUGAAUUUUGAUAAAGGGAAACCGAAAAAAUUACAUUUUCUUGUAACGUCGCUGCAUGUUUGUAUGGUGAAAUUUCGAGAUGUGAAAAAGUUUUUUAUUUUAAAAUGAAGCUAUGCUUCAAAUAAGUUUUUGGUGCAAGAAUCAUUAGUUACUGCAAUUUACAAAAUGCGCUCGAGGUAAAAUCGAAGCAUAUUUCCUUAUGAAACGAAGUCACCGCCUUUGAAAACAUUUCGAGAGCUAAAAAUGGUAAAUAAUUAAAAAAUUAAUAAAUGACAUGCCAAAAGAAUAGUUUGGAAUGAAUUAAAAUUUCGUAAUUAAGUUCUAUUGAGUCCACUUUUUGGCUUUUUUAUAAGAAAUGUUCUUUCGACUAUUUUGAUAUUAUUAAUCAAAUUAACAGAGUUAGGGCGGUUAAAAGUAAAGGAAUACAGUAAAACCUCUCAACAGUGGACAUGGGGACUCUUUAAUUAUUCGUUAUGGAGAGGUGUUACCUAAUGGGAGGUGGGCAGUUUUAUUAUAGGAAAAUGUUUUUUUAAUGAACUGAACUGAACAAAAGUAUAUAUUUGAUCUACUAAACCUUCAGCAUAUAACACCACAAAUAUAAAAAAAGUGUGUUUCUUAAAGGAUUAUGAAAGCAAACUGGCCACCAAACAUAUUCACAAUUAAAAAUAUAUUUAAAAAAAUAUUUUACUCGUUCGCAGAAUUACGUAAUUCCGUUAGUUAAAUAAGUUACAUAAAAGGAUUAAUAAAAUAUGUUUUUUAUAGCUUUUUAUAGGUUUCUAAUUUUUUUGACUAUGUUGAUAUCUGUAGAUUCGUGUCAGUAAACAUUUUGUUAUUAAACUCUUUAUUAUUAUGUAGAUUAUUAUUAUAAAUAAAAAUCUUUACAAAUCCAAAUUAAAUUAAAAAAGGAAAUAAGUAAAUAGAUUUUUUACUUAAAAUCUUCAAUAUUUGAUUGGUUGUUUUCAGGAGCCGUGUUUUUUCAAUAAUUUGUAAUUUUUAAUUAGUUAACUUUUUUAUUGGGUUGUUAAAAUUUAACACUUGUUAUUAUCGCAAAUCUUGGAAUUUUAUUAGUUAUUUCAAUAGCAAUAACGAUUAACAGCCUUUAAAUUUUAACGGUUUCAUUACAGAUUUAUUUAUUUAGGUGCUAAGGCAAGUUUCUUCGUUAUCCCUAUCGUCUUCAGGAAUCUUUUCAUCACGUUUUUCUAAGAAUUUUUGCAUAAAUUCCUUUGUAGGAGGUAAAUUUAUAUGAUAUUACGGUACUUGGGAAUUUUUUGUCCGCUAUACAGAAGAUCCAUUAUUAAGAAGUUUUUGUUACGUUCCUAUUUCUACAAAAAUGUCCGUUGUGAAGAGGUGUCCGUUAUUCGGAGGUGCCCAUUAAGGAUGGUUUUCCUCCCUCUAAAUGUUUUCAAAGCGGUGGCUACUAAUCUUUUUAAAUUUUAAAUAAAAAACUUUCUCGCAU